UGGAGCAUUCAAAAGAAAAAAUGACACAAAUUUUAAACAAUACUUGGUGGUGGAGUAACUUACGUCGAACGUCGUGAGGCACACUGCUAUUGUAUCGUUUUAAUACCAUACGUAAAAGGCUUGUC
rfam:Imtechella halotolerans K1 Contig4, whole genome shotgun sequence.